rnacentral:rRNA from 1 species
AUUGAACGCUGGCGGUAUGCUUAACACAUGCAAGUCGAACGGUAGCAGCUCUUCGGAGGCUGACGAGUGGCGGACGGGUGAGUAACGCGUAGGAAUCUGCCCCAUAGUGGGGGACAACGUGGGGAAACCCACGCUAAUACCGCAUACGCCCUACGGGGGAAAGCGGGGGACUUUCGGGCCUCGCGCUAUGGGAUGAGCCUGCGUUAGAUUAGCUUGUUGGUAGGGUAAAGGCCUACCAAGGCGACGAUCUAUAGCUGGUCUGAGAGGACGAUCAGCCACACUGGGACUGAGACACGGCCCAGACUCCUACGGGAGGCAGCAGUGGGGAAUAUUGGACAAUGGGCGGAAGCCUGAUCCAGCAAUACCGCGUGUGUGAAGAAGGCCUUAGGGUUGUAAAGCACUUUCAAUUGGGGGGAAAACGGCCGGACCAAUACCCCGGCCCUUGACAUUACCUUUAGAAGAAGCACCGGCUAACUCCGUGCCAGCAGCCGCGGUAAUACGGAGGGUGCGAGCGUUAAUCGGAAUUACUGGGCGUAAAGCGUGCGUAGGCGGCCCGUUAAGUCAGAUGUGAAAGCCCCGGGCUCAACCUGGGAACUGCAUUUGAAACUGGCGGGCUAGAGUUUGGUAGAGGGGAGCGGAAUUUCAGGUGUAGCGGUGAAAUGCGUAGAUAUCUGAAGGAACACCAGUGGCGAAGGCGGCUCCCUGGACCAGAACUGACGCUGAGGUACGAAAGCGUGGGUAGCAAACAGGAUUAGAUACCCUGGUAGUCCACGCCGUAAACGAUGUCGACUAGCCGUUGGGCCCUUCAUGGGUUUAGUGGCGCAGCUAACGCAUUAAGUCGACCGCCUGGGGAGUACGGCCGCAAGGUUA